AGUUUGACUGUGCCCUCUGCUGUUAACAGAAGCACUGAAAGGACUUACGUGUCUUGGAAAUGGUCUCCAGGUGAACAGAAAUGGAUUUGUUUCUUGAAUUGAACUCUUCUUCAAGCUUGUCCAAGCAUGUUUGCAGCUACAAGAGUAAAGGUGUCUUUAUUUGGAUCUGGUCCUAUCUGCUAGUGGAGCAGGAGCUGUUUUAGUGAAGCUGGUAGCAUCAGAAGCCACGUGCUACAGGAAGAUUUUGAGCAUAGAAGCUCUUCAUCCACAAGCAUUCAUGGAUCUGCUGCAACGUCAGAAGUGCAAGAUCAUCACCCCAGCGUUUAUUAGCAGUGACGUCUUCAGUUAAUCUCCCGUUUUGGAAGGAGCCCAAACAUCAUACACACAACAGAGAGCGUUUAGUGGGAGUCUGCUCAGCCUCCUCCAUAUAGCAGUGUCAGUGACAAUAUCAUCCUAAUGCUUUUGGCUUUGAGCUCACUGCGUACGCUGAGCUGCAGGACUUUGGCUGGCAGUGUAAGUAUCACAUCUCCUGCACUGUUUUUUCUAAACCCAUCCAUCUUUUAGCCAAAAAAGCUCCUUCUUAGUUUGAGGAAGGGUUUUUAGGCUCUUUAUAUAUUGACAGUAAAGCACUUAGUUCCAUAAUCCCCUUUCAAAGUGUCUGGUACAACUGGAGCAUGUCACAUCCCAUAACCUGCUCCUCUGCUCAGUCCCUUCGCAUUACCUAAUGUCUGAAUUACAAGAUUCCAAUACAAAGAGUUCUGUUGCUGACAUUGCGAGGAGCUCAGAACUUUAUGAGCCAUGUAACUCCACAGGCUCACUCUGUGCUGAUGCUAUGACCAAAGAAGGCUAUUGGCAGCCCUGGAGCCUCAUUUUUCUGUUUCAAGUCUGCUCUCUUGGUGGUCAGUUUAGGAAUGAUGACACUUUUUGCAAGCUAUGGGGGGAGAUGAAACAGAUGCCUCUUGGAGCACACUCACUCCCCUGAGCAGUGGAGUUCUUUCUCCCCUACUUAGCACUGCUGGCAAUGAAUUUACUAACGAGGCCAUCUGGACAAGGCAUCAGCCUGGCCACACGUGGCCCACAACUCUCUGUGAUGGUGAAAUCAGACAACCACCUGACUGUUUCCUUCAGGAUGCCUGAGCUUCAUGGAUGCGUGAUCUGCUCUAAAUAUAACCCCUUCCUUAUAAACAGCAAAAAAAAACAUCCUAGCUAUUUAAUCCUGGUUAGCAGUCCCUCUUAGGUGAUGCAGUAGUUUAUCUCAGGAGAACUUUCAGCCUUCCCUGUGUUGUUCAUGCAUUUGUGCCAGGAGCGCUCCUAAAGCACUACCGUAUGCAUUUGAAGGAAGAGAAGAUUUAGAUUUGUGAGAUAGGCACCAUCACAAGCUCCUGUCCAGCUCCAAAAUUGCUAACUGCUGACCGAUGGAACGGUUUCUUCUUCCCACCUAACUUUAUGCAAGGUAUUGCGAUAUUGGCAACCCUGCCAUUUACUGUAAUAUGAGCAUGACCUAAAAAAUCUGCAGCCCUCUGCAUAGCUGGGGAGUCAGCUGGUUCUCUGCUCAGUUUCCUUGUCACCAGUGGGAAUUCCUCCCCCCUGUCCCUUAAGAUGAGUUGGAUCUUUCUGGAGCUUCUUUCAUGUUCCCAAGUUGCAGUUAGCACAUCCAAAUACUUCAGCGUGGCCACACACAAACAUAUCGCCUUUCGUUUAAAGGUUCUGCCUUGCCCCAGAAUAGCUGUCAGAUGCAACACACGGAGACAUGCAGCGUGCAGUAAAUCUUCUCUUCUUAUAUUCUCUAGAUGUUUCUAGCAUCGCCAUGCCAAAUCUUAUAAAUUGUCCUAGGCCUUAUUGGUCUGUGAAAACGAUUAUAACUCUGUUAUUGGGCCCAACACCAAAUGCUAAGAGUCAGCUGGAAAAGCAAACAGAGUCGUCUACAGUUUCCAAAGCAACAUUUAUCUGUGGUGCUGCUGGGAUUGUAUUUAGCCCCAUCAUCCACACCAAACCUGUGCCAAUGUCCCUCCUCUUCCACAGCUCUGUGGGUGAAGCUCACUUACACCUUCCUGAUAUAUUUAAAGUGCAGUAGAGCCUCUUUCCUGAAGAGAUCUUUCUCUCUCAGUGGUAAUCUUGAGUAAUAUCAGUGCAGUACUGUUCCUUUCCUCCUGCUUUCUGUCCAAAAACCUCCCUGCCCUUUCUGCUCCCUCUCAUUUAGUGCUAGGGCUGCAUCACAACAAAUCCAACUGAAGAGCUGUGAGCUGCUUUUCACCUGCCCUUCCUCACAGCUUUAGUCUGUAUCUGUAGGAACUGUCUCUAUCUCUGCCACGCUGCUCUUGUCGUUACUUUUUGCUGCCUGCCAAAGUGGUCAUCAAACAAGCAAGGAUCAGCAUUUGCUUUGGGUGCAGAGGAGGAACUUCAGCAUCGAGGGGGCUUGGAGGAGUUUAAAUCAAGGAGGUUUAGCUGCUAUUUCUGCUCCCAGUCAUUUACCAUCUCUGCUGGAGACUGCCAAGGCAUAACAUUAUUUUUUCUGUUCUCUAUCCUUUGGAACUCAGUGACCUGCUUGCUGCAAAUCAUUUGUUUCAUUUCUGCAUUCAUAUCCUAAAAGGAAUUUCUACAAAGAGAUUUUGGCAGUGGCCCCAACGCAUUAAGCACAACAGGAUCCCUUACAGCCGCCACCUCCAGUUUCCAGGUAUCAGGCUCUAAGUCCUUCUGCUCUUGCUUUAAUUCUUCAAGGUCACUUUUACUUUCUAUGAGCAACUCCAUUAUUCAUUCCAACGUGAUUCAAUACCACCCAAACAUUCCUCACCUUGGAAACCGCGUCGGCUCUUUUGUCCUGAGCGAGGAGCCAGCAGGCAGAGAUUGCUGCGGCGCAGCCGUGUGUGCUCACACAUUUAUCCCUGGCCAUAUUAGGAAUUAGACCUCUGGAGACAGUUUUUGUCCCCCGGUCUGAAGCCGUCUUCCAGCCUGCACAGUCCUAUAAGGCUCAGGGGUUUUUUUGAGGCGCUCUCUCGGUCACUGCCUUGUCCAUCUCCUUCGCUUUCUGCUAAUUCUUGGACAUUAAGGUGACUUCAGAAUUUGUGGUUCUGCUGUAUGGGAUGGAAUUUAAUGAAAUAAUGGUUUGGAUGAGGCUGUUAACCUCGGAAGUCUUUUCUCAAAGCAGAAAUAUGCCAUGGAGAAUAAAUGGCACAAGUAGGCUUCAUGUUAUAGCAUCUUUUUUGAAUGCAAUAUUUCUCUUCAGUAUUUUCAUCAUGUAUUGGCCUUAUCCACUCUCUGCCUGGCUUUCUGCUCCUGCUGCCUUUCGAAAUUGGUUCAUUAGUAGUUACUAUGCCUUUGGCAAGUCACUGCUUUUCACAUGGAACAAGAAAAUUAUGGUAACUUCAAUUUAAAAUUAUAAUACAUUGCUUCCCAUUUUUACAUUUUUAAUGCUCUUUAAUUUCUUAAAGGAUGCCCUCAUUUUCUUUACCAUGCUAUUUAACCGUGUCAGUUUGGUACUGGUCCUUCUCACUCUGCUCUGAUAGCUGCUCUGCAUUUGUUCUGUGCUUCAGCUCGAGGUCUAAAUAAUCUCUAUGCCUCAGGCGAACCAACAGCCCUUUCUGCCACCCCUUUAAAUUCCUUUCUAACAAGCUGCUUUAUUUCUACGUCCGUGUCUUUUUGGAAAUUAAACAUUUCUGUGGUGGAUUUCUGGCUCCCGUUUCUCCUGCAGAGAUGCUGACUCCAGUUCAUUACUGUCACUUCUAUGGCAGCGCUGCAAGAAUAAUGGAGUAAUACUCCAAACGAGGGUCUUGUGCCCAGCCUGGGACCAAGGCAAGAUGCAAUUCUUCCCUGGGAGUUCUCUCACUGAGCAGGUCUUAAUGAUGUUGAAAAUCUGGUUUCAGCACUGUGACCGCCCAAUCGAUAGAAGGCUAAUUGAAGCAUCACUGCUUUUGUGACCACUGUGCUCAGAUCCCCUGUGAUCUUUCUCCGUGCGCCCUCCUGGCCAGGCAGGCAGCAGUGCAGCUUUAAUGCGACACAUUCCCUAAUUGUGUCUGGCAUUCCAAUCCCCCCAAGUUGUGUUGUUUGUUGGUACACUUAAAUGGACUCUCAGCUUUCUCCGCAGCAUAGCUGCCACGUUAUCAGCGUGAGCUCUUCUUACCUUCUCAAAUGAUUGGCACCCUGAUAUUACAGUGUCCAACUAGCUAAUCUUCCUUCUGAUGGGUCUCUAGGAUCUCUAUUAUGUCAAUAUUCAUAUAUAAGAACAGGUAAAGUGGGGACUUUGGCUCCCCCAUCCUAUUUCUCAGGCUGCCAGCAGUUGCAGACAAGAACACACAUGUUUGAUGGAUUGUGAAUCAAACCCCAAGUCCCCGGUCUGUUCCGAGAUGCAGGCAGGAAGGAAGCACAAGAGGUAGCAGUGCAGAGCAACGUUGGGCUUCUGCAGAAACUCUCUUGUGGCCUUAUUACAUCACUGGAGUCCUGCACUGCUCAUGGACCUGGUGGCAGCUGCUCUCAGAAGUAACGCUUCUCCUCUUUCCUGUGCAAAGAACGAACCCUUUGAGGCGUACCCUGUCAAUGCUGUGUGCUGAUUUUAUGUUUCAUCUUGGAAGCUUUCUGAAAGGCAGUACUAUGCAGUCUGCGUAUCAUAUCUUGCUGUAGUGAGAAAAGGAUCUAGUAACAGGAGAAGCGAGAUGGGGGAAGUUAUUAACACCUUUUCCCCGUAUCUCAAUCUUGUGCACACGCUCCUAACUUUUUUUUUCCUUUAAAAGGAGUUAAUUUGCCUUCUGAGUUCUCCUUUUAACUCCUCUAAAAGCUCAGCUUCAUUCUCAGUAUUGUUUCAUGCCCUGUUUGACCCUCCCAACUCACUUGCGAAGAAAGUGAAGUGCUGAGGAGCAGGUGUUAAAAUCUCAUCUGUGUUUCGAUUGUGUGUUGUUAGAUUAGUUAAGAGGGAAGGCUUUAAUAAAAGCAGGAAGAAAAAACAACAAAAACCAACCUGCAGGUACCAAGAAGACAAUAUAAUGAUGCAAUGCAUAUUUAUAAAGGCUAAAUUGUGACAGGUACAAACAUACUUUUCUCUGAGUUGGGUCCUCUUUGACCCCUGCAUCUGUGCAAAACUCAAUUAAUUCAUACCUACGCGACAAGUACUUUUAUAAUGGGGAAGGAACUUGCUAUUAUAUUUUCAUUAUCAUCUAUCAUCAUUGUAACAUCAGGCCACAUCUGAGGCGCUAUGACUAAAACUGUGAAUCUGAACAACAGUUAGUUAUAUAAGUGGUUAUUUAACUACCAGAAGAUCAGAGGACAAAAUUAAUCAAUUAGCUUCUCCAGAGUUAAAUGAGGGAUAAAUCUGGCUCUGUUUUUAAGCCAAGUGAUGCAAAGGUUGAUAAUCUGCUGUUUUAAAAGAAAGAAAGAAAGAAAAAAAAGGGCAGGUUUUAUGCAUUUGCUCUCUAGACGUUCAAUACAAAUAAUAUUUGUUGAUUCAUUAUAUAUUGUAGGUGUGGGGAGUUAUAGCUGCUCUUUGACUUCUACUGGGGAAAAAAAUUCAGCCAUGCAUAUAGAUGCAGCAUAUGGAAUAAUUUUAGAGUUACAUAACAUGUAAUGGUAUUGCAAAUCGUGAUUCAUUUUAUCUAUCUUCUACGCAAGGCAAGAAGGGAACAUUUAACUUAUCUAAUUAGACAUGUUGCAUAAGAUAGGCCAUAGGACUCUCCUGAAUAAAUUCCUGCUCAAAGCUUUCAGCAGGAAAUAGAAUAGCUUUCAUCAGAGCAUCCAGUGUUGAUUUUAAAAUUCCUACAGUGGUAAAUCUAUCACGGUGCUUAGUAGGCUGAGAGAAAUGCAGACAGAAACAGAGUCACAGAGUAGGUUAAUUAGCCAUAAUUCAGCAGACCAUGAUUAACCACAGAUUAAUUUUAGGCAUAUUUUGUGUCAUUCCUGUAGUCAUUCCCCGCUUCGGUAAUACAGUGACCAUGUAAUUAUGGCAGUUUCUCCAACAAUUUCUAGAAGUAGGGAGCUAUAACAAAAAAAUGGUGGUACCUCCUGUUCCAGGUGAUCCUGCUGGAUCACCUCCUAGCUUAUAUCCCUUGCAAAGUUCCUGCCUGUUCCUAUACUGGACCAAGCCAAGAGAACAGCCUGAAAGCCACCAAAAGCUGGGCAUAGGGCAGGCAUAGUGGCUGUUCCUGUUUCCAUAUUUCACUGUAUUACACCACAUUUGCAGGAGUAUUCAACAUGGGCAAUAUAACCUGCUGCUCACCACGAUCCCUCUGCUUAUAUGUCUUGAAUCCAAGUAAGUGGACCACUAAAAUGUUUUUAAUUUGAGUAAAUGCUCUUAAACAUGCAAAAUGUUGCCAGUCCCAGGAGUGCUUUAUAUUGGCAGUGCAAGACCUCCAAACUAUUUGGUACUCUAACCAGUUCCGCGUCAGGAAGGAGCACUUUGUAUUUAUAACAUCCUCAUCAUCUUAAUUCCUGAGGGAGGCUGUUGUACUUAAAGGCUCUGAUGGCUGUAGUGUGACGGGUGUGAAAACACACAGCACUUACCCGGAGGCUGUGGGAGUGCUGAGCAUCUCCUUGAUAUUCCAGACGUUGAAAUUCAUUUUUUUUUUUCCCUUCAAGGUUAACUGUUAGAAAGGAAGAAUACAAGAGCUAUUGAUCCUGCAUACAGCCACCUGUGGGGCUGAUGGCUGCACUGCAAUAGCAGCAGCCAACCUGCAGCCUGGUCACCCUGCAGCCAGUGUGUUUUUGGGGCUGGGGUGAGGAAUGCUUCCCCUGGGCUCUGUCCCCAGGAAACUUGUGUAUUGCAUGAGCUGGGGGCAGUUUGUGAGUGUUACAGAGUUAAGGCUCCCUCAGGACACAGCACAGCUGCUGAGGGGGAAGCGUGGCUCAGCGUGGGGCCUAGUGAGGCCUAGACAACAUGGCUGCCACGGCCAACAUGGCUACCACAGCCAACAUGGCCGACGUGGAGCUGGACCUGCAGGCUCCUUACAGAGCUGGGUUCUCAGCUGUCCCCACACAGGUGGGACCCACCCCAGUGCUGUGUGAAGGAGGUGCUUGAGCCUGCGGACCCUUGGCUGCUCCAUGCAGCACGCUGGGGCGCUUUGUGCCCAAGGGCUGUGCGGUCCCCAGCAUCAACAGCGCUCUCGGAAAUGCAGAACGGCUUAAUUUUACUUGCUAGUCUGACAGAAAUAGCCCAUGAUCUAAACAUGCCCUGCAGAAAGACUCUCAAAUAUGGCUUCACUGGAAUUUUUAUCCUCCCCAUCUUCAGGGAUGGAAAAUGGGCACGCUUGCUUGCCUAUUUUUUCCCCCUUUUUAUUCAAAGCUAUUUUAGUGCCAGUUAAGCUGUUUGUUUGCCAGUUCUGAAGGUGCUCCAUAAGCAACAGAAUGCUGCAGAAAUAAAGCUGCUAUAAAUUUGAAGAUAGACUAGAGAGGUUCAUCACAUCCCCUUCAAGCUCCUCUUGCCUGGAGAGACGUUUUAGCAUUAAUGCAGCCUGGAGCUCUGAGGUGUCAAAACAAUAACCAUGCUGUGUUUCAUUAACAAAUCCUACAGAACUUAAGCCUUGACUUAAAGAAUUAUGGACUUUUACUCUUUACAGACGGCUUGGAGCAACUCUGCUGCAUUGUUUCUGCUUGUAACAACAGGGCUACAUCUGUAUAAAUAGCUCAAAUUUAUCUCCAUGAUCGUUAACUCUUGCCUGUGCGAUGAUUCAGUGGUAGGAAGCUUUUCUAGGACUGAAGUAGAGGCUGUGCUCCCACUGCAGUGGUCUGAUAGUCAAGCUGUCUAAGGAUGGAAGCCCAACCUUCCUCCAGAGAGCACUGAUGCAGAGAUAUCUGUAGUUAUGGCACCAAUUGAGUAAAGGAAGGCUUUGGUCUGCUUUGUACAACUUGAGUGGGCAGGCUAAUGCCCAGUGCUGCUAUUGCUGUGUUGAGGUUGGAUGUGACCCUGCAUCACAAACGGUGUUUUUCCAUCCUUUUAUUGGAAAAUCUAGAACUCCAUCCAUGGGAGCCCACAGGGCCUUCUACCUAUCACAGCACUGCUAUUAGGAAAGGAUUUGCUGGCACUCUGUGCAUGAGCCAUAGGACUCGGUGUGUUAUUUUAAGUUAUUAUGCAGAACUAUUCGUGUUUCUGAUGUGACUGGAACUUUCUGGUUUGAGUGUCUACAGAAUUUGUGGAAUACGAUAAAUGAGAUUCUGUAUUCCAUCUCUCCUGACAACAGAAAGAAAUUUCUAUAAGAAAACACUUUUUUAAUUAUAGGUUUGAUAGCUAGCUCCAGUCCCAGUCUCCCUCAUCCAUAACACAGCUCUGUGGAGAUCAGAAGUGUUGCCAGGUGCUGGCUUGUAGAAUUCCUUCUAUCUGGAGUAACAGACUGCUUCUAGCAUUAGGGAGUCUGUCCAGACACUUGAAGCCUUUCAUUUAGUAAAAAUUAGAAGAACAUACCAGGAGAUAGACAGCAAUAUAUCUUGUAUGUCCCUCAACUGUUUUUUUUCCUUCAAUUUGUUAGCAUUUCAUUAGCAUCUCACAUGAGCUCUUCACUUAAUAAUGUGUCAGUCUUAAGCACAGUCAGGGCCAUCAUCUGUUUUGCCUUUUUGCCUGAAGAUUUCUCCAUCCAUCCCCAGACGUUCUUGGCUCUUGUCUUGGACGCUCUCUUCCCCUCAUUUGGUUGGGAUUCUGCUCCAGUGCCCAAAAGUGGAGAGAGAAAAGAAUGAGCAAUCCAGACUUUUAGGAAAGGUCACAGAUUCCUCUCAAUUGAAACAGUCAAGUCAAGCGGUGCUGCGAUCGGUGGAUGCACCCCAAACUCCCCAGUCACAUGCAAGAAGAGACUUGGGUGCUAAUAAAAGAGGCAGGCUGACUGUAGGGCAGCUGGAAAUGUCACCGCAGCGGGGACACACAACAGCAAAGUGCUAAGGUGCAGCUGGUGUGGCCUUGCAUUUGGACAAGGUGGUUCCAUGCACCGGCACCCACUCUGCAGCCUGCCACAUUGGAAGGGAAUGCUGCAGAGGAGUGUCAGCCUGCUGGUGACUCAGUGCCUGAUUUAUCCUGUCCAGGCCGUGCUCCCAUGGGAUGAGUUCAUUAAUCAGGUCUGCGUUUCCAGUGCAACUCUGUGAUUUAGGGUUGCACACGACAAAACUUGUGGUGAGUGAGGUUCUUAGGAGCCUCAGUGGCUUCUGCGAAGGGCUGGCAGGCUGGGGUGGGGUACCAUACCUGUCCCACCAAAGCAUUUCAGGGAAGUGCUGUGAGAGUGCAAUUUACUGCAAUAUUCACAGCAGAGUGCCAGAGCCCUGCAUGUACCAUGCUCAGAGGAUGGGAUCUCUCUUUCCAGCCCCCAGACCUCCCAGCACAGCACAAGUCACUAACCUUGCCCUGCUGCCGGCGAGUCCCCCCAGCUGCCACAAGCCUCAAUCCCCAGUUUGGGGCCCCAUGUUGAUGCUGGCUCCAGCACAGAAGUGUUUCUAUGGCAACUCCAGAGGUGGAUGAAAGGAUGCUUCAAGCAUCAGAGGUACCGCCAGCCCAGGUAUCCCAGGAUAUUCCUCCAAAAACGCAGCAAGCGGCUCUUCUCUGACCCGUGCCCAACUUUUUUCCGUGCAAUGCCCUGGCAUGUGCACAGCUUGAUGCAGCAGCAGCACACUGGCCAUCCUCUCUGAAAGGUCAGGUGCUCACAUUUGAUAUUUACCCCAGCCCAUGAGAUUUUUUCUAAUGUCAUCUCAUUAAAAGACUGAAUCUCUCGCCUGCA